UGCAGACAUAUAUAAAUGUCCUUAGGGUUUUCAAAAUGCAUUUUGUUGUCUUCUCCACUAUUUGAGCUUCCUUUAGGUGAAUAACCAUGGUGUUGACGACCUUCAAUCCUAUAUUCAUGGUAUUGGUCCUCUGAAUCAUUAACUCUUUACCUAAGCUCUGGAAGAUUCCUCCUUUAUAUAGCUCCCUAAAAUAUAGAAGAGAGGGAGAUAAAGGUUGCUCGGACCCACUAUUUUGAAGAUGUAGUCUGCUUCUCGCUGUAUUACUUAGGUCAAACUCACUCAACCCUCCCUUAUUACAUGAAGUACCCUUUUGAUGUAUGAAUCUGUAUAGACUAGAUAACUCUUGACGUUUUUGAUUGCCCUCAUUGGUUGUAAAUAGGUACUUGUAAGCUAAUUUAGCGCUGUUAGCUAUAACUAUAGCCUGCAGUCUCUUCAUCAUUUUUUCAGUGACAAUUAUAUGUAUGGACAUUGUAAUUUAUCACUGUUAAGGAUUUUCUUACCUUUGACAUGCAA